UGGGGAAUCUUGCGCAAUGGGCGAAAGCCUGACGCAGCGACGCCGCGUGUGGGAUGAAGGCCUUCGGGUCGUAAACCACUGUCGCGAGGGACGAAUAAAUUGACGGUACCUCGAAAGGAAGCACCGGCUAACUCUGUGCCAGCAGCCGCGGUAAUACAGAGGGUGCGAGCGUUGUCCGGAAUCACUGGGCGUAAAGGGCGCGUAGGUGGCUGUGUAAGUCGGGGUGGAAUGACUGCGGCUCAACCGCAGCGCUGCCUCCGAGACUGCACGGCCUGAGCACGGUAGAGGCCGAUGGAAUUCCCGGUGUAGCGGUGGAAUGCGUAGAGAUCGGGAAGAACACCGAUGGCGAAGGCAGUCGGCUGGGCCGUUGCUGACACUGAGGCGCGACAGCGUGGGGAGCAAACAGGAUUAGAUACC
rnacentral:rRNA from 1 species